rnacentral:rRNA from 1 species
GAACGGUUAUCAUGGUAGGAGAGCGUUCUGUAAGGGGAGAAGCCGUAGCGGAAGCGGCGGUGGACUUUACAGAAGUGAGAAUGCCGGAAUGAGUAGCGAGAAAUAUGUGAGAAUCAUAUUGGCCGAAAGUCUAAGGUUUUUGGAGGAAGGUUCGUCCGCUCCAAGUAAGUCGGGAGCUAAGGCGAGGCCGAAAGGCGUAGUCGAUGCACAUACGGUAGAUAUUCCGUAACCGCCGAAAGAGUUAAGUUAGAUGACACCUUGAAAGGGCAUGACCCGGGCGAUGGUUGACCCGGGCGAAAGGGACCGAAAUUUAGUAGGGAAGCAUGCAUGGACGAGGGCGAGAAAAGUCUAGUGUAUUUCUGAGGCGCCCGUACCGCAAACCGACACAGGUAGAUAGGAAGAGAAUUCUAAGGCCCACGGGAGAAGGGUAGUUAAGGAACUCGGCAAAUUGACCCCGUAACUUAGGGAAAAGGGGUGCUCUAGCGAUAGAGCCGCAGAGAAUAGGCCCAGGCGACUGUUUAGCAAAAACACAGGUCUCUGCCAAAUCGAAAGAUGAAGUAUAGGGGCUGACACCUGCCCGGUGCUGGAAGGUUAAGAGGAGAUGUUUACGCAUUGAAUUGAAGCCCCAGUAAACGGCGGCCGUAACAAUAACGGUCCUAAGGUAGCGAAAUUCCUUGUCGGGUAAGUUCCGACCCGCACGAAUGGUGUAACGAUCUGGGCACUGUCUCAACUACCCGCCCGGCGAAAUUGUAGUACCGGUGAAGAUGCCGGUUACCUGCGACAAGACGGAAAGACCCCAUGGAGCUUUACUGCAGCUUGAUAUUGGGUUUCGGUAAUUUAUGUACAGGAUAGGCGGGAGACUGGGAAGCAGAGGCGCCAGCCUUUGUGGAGUCAUCCUUGGGAUACCGCUCUUAAGUUGCUGGAAUUCUAACCUGCGGCCGUGAAACCGGCCGGGGGACAUUGUCAGGCGGGCAGUUUGACUGGGGCGGUCGCCUCCAAAAGAGUAACGGAGGCGCUCAAAGGUUAGCUCAGCACGGACGGAAACCGUGCUAAUGAGUGUAAACGCAUAAGCUAGCCUAACUGCGAGGGUGACGGCCCGAGCAGUAACGAAAGUUGGAGUUAGUGAUCCGGCGGUAUGUGAAUGGAAAUGCCGUCGCUCAACGGAUAAAAGCUACCCUGGGGAUAACAGGCUGAUCUCCCCCAAGAGUCCACAUCGACGGGGAGGUUUGGCACCUCGAUGUCGGCUCAUCACAUCCUGGGGCUGAAUUCGGUCCCAAGGGUUCGGCUGUUCGCCGAUUAAAGUGGUACGCGAGCUGGGUUCAGAACGUCGUGAGACAGUUCGGUCCCUAUCUGUCGUGGGCGCAGGAUAUUUGAGGAGCUCUGUCCUUAGUACGAGAGGACCGGGAUGGACGCACCGCUGGUGCACCAGUUGUCACGCCAGUGGCACAGCUGGGCAGCUAAGUGCGGAACGGAUAAACGCUGAAAGCAUCUAAGCGUGAAGCCGGCUCCAAGAUUAGAUAUCCCACAGCGUAAGCUGGUAAGACCCCUUGAGGACUACAAGGUUGAUAGGCUGCGUGUGUAAGCAUGGCGACAUGUUUAGCUUGGCAGUACUAAUAGGUCGAGGGCUUGACCA